rnacentral:rRNA from 1 species
UACGUAGGGGGCAAGCGUUGUCCGGAUUUAUUGGGCGUAAAGAGCGUGUAGGCGGCCAGGUAGGUCUGCUGUGAAAACUCGAGGCUUAACCUCGAGAUGUCGGCGGAAACCAUCUGGCUAGAGUCCGGAAGAGGAGAAUGGAAUUCCCGGUGUAGCGGUGAAAUGCGCAGAUAUCGGGAAGAACACCCGUGGCGAAGGCGGUUCUCUGGGACGGUACUGACGCUGAGACGCGAAAGCGUGGGGAGCGGACAGG